UACGGCCAUAUCACGUUGAAAGAAUGCUUUUCGUACGAUCACAGAAGUUAAGCAACGUCGAACGUGGUCAGUACCUAGAUGGGUGACCGCUUGGGAAUCCCAGGUGAUGUAAG